rnacentral:tRNA from 1 species
AUUUUAGAGAUUUUAUGAUCAGAAAAGAAGCUUCUAACUUCCUUUUAAGCGGUUAAAUUCCGUUAAUA